GUGCGAGUAACGUCCAGGAGUGUCAUAGUGUGAGGUCAUUACGAAACCUUUGUGUAGGGAGUGGCGGAAAUCGCGUUGGCAGCCAUUGCGGGCGUUCUAGUUACGUACGGAAAAUCGAUAGAAAAAUGGGUCAAAGGUUGCUUGUAUGUAGGGGAGAGUAUAAAAUUCGUGAACUUCUUGGAACGUGAGAGUGUCGGUAGGUCUGUCCACGAGAUAAAGAAGAUGGAAGGAGGAAGUCGCAUCACCUAAAAAAGGAUGAAGAGAAGGAGGUGGUGAUAGUGGUAGUGGAGGAGGAUCAGAAAGGCGGUGACGGGGAAGAGAACUGUAAGAAGGGGUAAGGGAGCUGAGGACGUGCUGUGGGCGUUCUGCGAGCUUCUCCGGAGGAUGCACUCGCUUUGCGGAGUCCGAGGAGUGCGCACAUGUCGCACGAUUUGGUGGCCGUUGACCGAGUGGCUGUGGAGGACCUCCCACGUGUCGCAACCCCUACCUUCGGAAAUCCCACCCUCGUCAAUUUUCCCGGUUCAGGGCCCCUCCAUUUCCCACCAUAAGUAGCGUGUUUCCGCGCGUGGUACGACCAGUUCCCGUUCGACCGCCGUGUGGUACGACUGGUUGCCGUAUGUUCAUCACAAGCGCUGCUGUACGUCAUCACGUGGAGCCUCUCGGCCAAUCCGGUAGUGACUAGUGACGAAGAACCAAUCGCAGUGGGCUGUCGUGAGAGUGCGCGAUAUCGGGUGCCUCGUUGGUGGGGGUCGCAAGAGAGCGGCGGUAGCUAAGCGGACGAACACAUCCUCGUUCACCGCAGCCCGCCUUGGAAGUCGGUUCUGUGUUCCGAGUUCUCCGGAGGAACUGUUCGCCACGAAUGAUGGCCCAACCGCUCGACUGUUCGCACGCUUUUUGAUCCCUUUUAUUUAAUCGAAUACUAUCUGCCUAUAUCUUUUUUUUUUUCUUUAUCGGAAAUUAUGGCCGUCAUCGACCAUAUCUUCGUCAUGGCAACGUUGCCAGGCACUACGAUUCUGUGAAUAUCCACGAUUAAUCAUAUUUAAUCAUUCUUGACGGAUGGACAGUGCUUCUCUUCUAUUGGCGCGUACGAUACAAAGCGGGGAAAAAGUCAGUAAUUCCAAACGUGAAGUUUUCCUGGUACACCGGAAUUUUGGCAGUUGGUUUGUGUGCCGCGUGGAGAAACCUUGCGACCGCACUUCCGCAUUGUUCGCAUCUCGGUCGCCGCCAUAUUGAAUUUCAACUGGGUCACCGAUUAAUCAGUUUUCCGCGGAUUCACAGCCGUCCUCGCUGUCCUGCCAUCGGCUUUUCCCGCAGUCAUCUUUUUGGUGCCGGACAUAGCGUACGAAAUUUCUUAGUGCAAGUCUAACGUAACUUAACGCAACUGAAGAUCAUUUUCAACUUUCUUGUACGGAAACCAAACUCGCGGAACGUGCAUGGAAUUUUGAUUCUGAUACAGUGCCCCAUAUACCUAAAAUAUUACUGGGAGUAAAGCCAUCUAACGGAAUAAGUAGAAGACUCAAUCUACAGCGGUAUCCUGGAUUUUCAUGAUCCCCCGAGCAUGGCUUGAAAAUCUUUUCAACGCUGAGGGACCUAAAGGUUAUGAAAUUAAUAAAGGACGAGUCUCUACAAAUCUAAUCAAUUUCAUUGAUGAAAUCGUUAUCGUCGUUUUCAUUUUAUACCUUCGAUUCACCUGGGUACAGACUUUAUCUCUUUUUCUUGGCAUUGAGCUAUAACGAUUAUUCAGGUUAAAUUACUGGGACCUUAUACAUUGCUCAGGAGUGUUGAAAUGUCAGGUGUGAGCUGUAAUUGAGAAUUCUAGUCGCAGUGAAGCGCAGUUUCUCGUGACUUUGUUACGAGAACUAAGGAGGCAAGAAAAUAAGGAAAGAUGUGUAUAACGAAAAAAGAAGAACCCUUGUCCAACUCACUUCUGUCGUGCAUUUGUGCAAUCAUCCGGCGCAAGAAGGUUAGAACGAUGGCAGUCGAGACGAAUGCGAAUGAAGUUGGCCAACCUGGUUAGUAGAUGGUUAGUACAC